CGACAUCAAAGGAGUAAUGGCAUGACAAUCUGUAGAAAUUAAGGACUUGAGAAUUUGUGUUUCGAUAUAGUUGAACUGUUAAACGUUUCUACUAGAAAACAUUGACCCUUGUUGGUAUUAAGUAUAUGCAAUACUGAGGAAUGUGUUUAUUUCUUCCAUUGAGACGUAAUGAAACUAAGUGCCAAAUUAAUCUUGUGACGCAAAUGAGAUAUAGAUUAAUGUUUUUCGUUAUAAAUAUUCCAUUUAUCCAGUUCCACCGGUUUUCAAAGUUACGGCAUCUCAGUUUAAUAACCAUGUGUCUCUGUCCAGGAAUAAAUAUCAUGCAUCAAAAUUGUCAAUAUGAUAAAUAAUAAAUGAAAGAAAGACGGAAGAUAUCAAAGGGAUAUUCAAACUCAUAUAAGUCGGAGAAAAUAUAACCAUGCCAUGAAAAAAAAAAAACCCCGAAAACCGAAAAAAAAAAAAAAAAAAAACGAAAACGAAAACGAAAACCGAUAAAAACGACCUAAAGUCAAACAUCAGUCUAUACAAGUGUACAAAAUAUAACAUAAGACUGAGCACCACGAACCCCA
rnacentral:lncRNA from 1 species